UUGGAGGGCAAGUCUGGUGCCAGCAGCCGCGGUAAUUCCAGCUCCAAUAGCGUAUAUUAAAGUUGCUGCAGUUAAAAAGCUCGUAGUUGAAUUUCGGGACCAAUAUGUCGGUCGUGCCUCGGUACGUACUGGCAUCGUUGGUUUCUCCCUUCUGACGAAUCAUGAUGUCAUUUAUUUGGUGUCGUGGGGAAUCAGGACUGUUACUUUGAAAAAAUUAGAGUGUUUAAAGCAGGCUCACGCUUGAAUACAUUAGCAUGGAAUAAUGAAAUAGGACGUUUGAUUCUAUUUUGUUGGUUUCUAGGAUCGACGUAAUGAUUAAUAGGGAUAGUUGGGGGCAUUAGUAUUCAAUUGUCAGAGGUGAAAUUCUUGGAUUUAUUGAAGACUAACUACUGCGAAAGCAUUUGCCAAGGAUGUUUUCAUUAAUCAAGAACGAAAGUUAGGGGAUCGAAGACGAUCAGAUACCGUCGUAGUCUUAACCAUAAACUAUGCCGACUAGGGAUCGGAUGAUGUUANUUUUUUAAUGACUCAUUCGGCGCCUUACGGGAAAC
rnacentral:rRNA from 1 species